rnacentral:tRNA from 1 species
AUUGUGGCUCAGUGGCAGAGCACUUGCCUCACAUGUAUGAGGCACUGGGUUCGAUCCUCAGCACAAUA